rnacentral:rRNA from 1 species
UACAGAGGGUGCAAGCGUUGUUCGGAUUCAUUGGGCGUAAAGGGUGUGUAGGUGGCGCCGUAAGUCGGGUGUGAAAUCUCGGGGCUUAACUCCGAAACUGCAUUCGAUACUGCGGUGCUUGAGGACUGGAGAGGAGACUGGAAUUCAUGGUGUAGCAGUGAAAUGCGUAGAGAUCAUGAGGAAGACCAGUGGCGAAGGCGGGUCUCUGGACAGUUCCUGACACUGAGACACGAAGGCCAGGGGAGCAAACGGG